CAGCACCAGCAGGUGGGGACUGACAGCCAAGGAGCAGGGUGAAGGGUCCCAUGUGGGAGAGAAACAACCCAGCAGGACUGGACGGGUUGUGACCAUCGCUGCCUUCCACCUUCCCUUUCCGACUCGAGGACACCAAGUCAGAGGCUCAGCCGCCUGCCGAAGUCUCCCAGCUACUGAAAGAUGGCACGGGAGGUGGAGCCCUGAUGCCUCCAGGUCGCUACCCCCAACUCCUGCAGGACCCCCAACAAAGGCAGUGUUCUGUCCCCCAGGCACCCCACCCUACGCCAUCAGCCAUGGUCUCGUCUGCAUCCAUCUAGAAAAUAUUCAUUUACACAAGUGGAGCAGGAAUAUAUUUUUGUUACAAACUAAUCA
rnacentral:lncRNA from 1 species